UACGGAGGGUGCAAGCGUUAAUCGGAUUUACUGGGCGUAAAGCGUGCGCAGGCGGUUAUGUAAGUCAGAUGUGAAAGCCCCGGGCUUAACCUGGGAAUUGCAUCUGAAACUGGUUGGCUAGAGUGCGGUAGAGGGGGGUGGAAUUCCUCGUGUAGCGGUGAAAUGCUUAGAUAUGUGGAGGAACACCGAUUGCGAAGGCAGCCCCCUGGGACUGUACUGACGCUCAUGUACGAAAGCGUGGGGAUCAAACAGG
rnacentral:rRNA from 1 species